rnacentral:misc_RNA from 1 species
UUAGGUUUUGGAAAACCCAACGUGUUUAUUAGGUAGUUGAGGAGAACAGGAUUUUCUUGGUUUGCAUUUUGAGCAGACUUUUUGGUUACUACCUGAGAUAGAGUGGAGAGAGAUAUGUGGAAAGAAGAAAAAGGACCAGUAAGAUGAUAUAAGUGAGUAGAUAAUGAACGGAAGCGCAGUUGGAUGGAGAUCAUGAGUCCUUCUCAAUCUUUUCACGGGAAACAACGAAAAAGACUUAUAGA